rnacentral:rRNA from 1 species
AGGGCACCACCAGGAGUGGAGCCUGCGGCUUAAUUUGACUCAACACGGGGAAACUUACCCGGCCUGGACACUGGAAGGAUUGACAGAUUGAGAGCUCUUUCUUGAUUCAGUGGGUGGUGGUGCAUGGCCGUUCUUAGUUGGUGGAGCGAUUUGUCUGGUUAAUUCCGAUAACGAACGAGACUCUAGCCUAUUAAAUAGGCUCCCGGCUUUUAAACGCCGGGAGGACUUCUUAGAGGGACAGGUGGCGGUUCAGCCGCACGAAAGAGAGCAAUAACAGGUCUGUGAUGCCCUUUGUUGUCUGGGGCCGCACGCGCGCUACACUGAAGAGAUCAGCGUGCUUUAUGUUCCUGCUCCGACCGGAGUGGGGAACCCAGUGAACCUUCUUCGUGAUUGGGAUAGAAGAUUGUAAUUAUUCUUCUUGAACGAGGAAUUCCCAGUAAAUGCGAGUCAUAAGCUCGCGUUGAUUACGUCCCUGCCCUUUGUACACACCGCCCGUCGCUACUACCGAUUGAACGAUUU